GCCUCACACUCUGAAUUUUUCCCCCCUCCACCACUGUUACCAACCAACAAAUGUCUCAUCCAUUAAUGGGACUACGUCUAAUCAUGCACAAGGAAGGAAAGAAAGGGUACGGGCAAAAGUACCACAAGCUUAGUCUUACUUUACUGGUUAUUAGAAGCCCAGCAACUUCCCAUCCGCAAUUAGUCCCUUUUUUUUUUUGACAAAAAAUAGGGACAACUGAAACCACCAAUAGUACAAUUAGAGGCUCAGGCAGCUUUGGUAUUUCUAUUCGAUAGUCCAGAAACUAGCAGCAUAAUUUUUUAUGCAAUAGUGAAGAUUUUUAAUAUUUUGAAGUGAGAUGCCGAACGAAGGAUCUCGAGGGCCUUCUAUAAGUUUUCCUUUAGGUUUAGCCCUCCUUAUCAUUUUGUUGAUAUGCAUUAGUGGCUUCUUUUCUUGUUGCUACAACUGGAACAAGAUCCGAAGCCUUCUUCAACCUUCUUCCACCCCCGAUGCCAUCGAAGAGAAUCAUUCAGAUUCCACUCUUCCCCAUUCUCCUAUAAUUAAGAAUCAGACUGCUGAGCAAAAGCAUGAUGAAAGCUUUACGGUGUUGAUGCCUGGAGAUCGAGCUCCAAAAUAUUUGGCAUUUCCAGCUCCGCAUGGAGAACAUCAAGCAAAUAAUUCCGCAAAAUUAUAGUUGCAGUAUGUUGUAGUAAAGCUAAUUGCAGCACUAUUGAUACAGUUUACUCUAGACAGAUAAUUACUGCAGUAUUUUAUUAUCAACUUACUGGUGAGUAUGGUAGAAUUUUGACUGGGAAUAUUGUGUUUUCUUGAGAUUGA